CUCGCCUGGAGAGAGCAAAGCGGGCAGGUGUGGGCUCAUCCCCAAGAACACGGGGCCGGCUGCUCAACCACUUAAUGACUCAAAACUUCCACGCCUUCCUCAGGACACACAGCUGGGGUGCAGACGAUCAGGAACAGCCACCAGUGAAAGCCAGUGCCCCCCCCUUCUGCGCAAGGACUACUAAUGGUCAGAGAUCCCGAGUGGGUGAACGAGCAAGAACCAGGAGCGGUAUGUGGGCCUAAGGAAACCACAGACGUGGCUGUCGGCAGGCUCCGGGCCUCCGUGCUCACUCACCUCAGCCGGUUCUUCAGGGUGCUGACCUCGCGGCUCAGGCCCUCGUUGGCCUCGGUGGCGUCAUCCAGUUCCCGCUGGAGUUUGCGCCGAGACGCGUUGGCACGUGUGGCUUCUUCUUCUGCCUCCUCUAGCUGCCGUUUGAGCUGCUUCAUCCUGGCGUUGGCCUUCUCCAUCUGGGGGAGUUACACGAACCAAGUCACACCAAACUGGGGAAUCCGAAUUUGGCAUCACAGCGUCCUGAGUGUGAUCUCAGAUCCCUGCCCAGCUCAGCCGUGUGAGCACAUGCAGGUACAUACGAGUGUGCACUGACGCACUCCCCAGACGGGGGCCUGGAUGGAUGGAGGCCUUCUCAUCAGCCUGCCAUUCUCAGCAAAGCCAGUGUCUACACAGCAAAUUAUGCUAAAGGAAAUAUUUAAAAAAAACUUGAAAACCCUAUCUCCAGCCUUGAUUUUUCUAUGGAAAAAUGACAGCGUAGAAUCUUCGCACGAGCGACCUAUGGGAUGGUGAAAGGGAACUGCUGUUCUCACAAAAUGCACAUGGACGGUCUCCAACCCCAGGAGAUGGUACAUUCAUUGAACACCUCCUUUCAACAUGGGUAUGUCAACAUUAUAUUUUGAUUCAAGUACAGAGCCACUCUGGAAGACCUGACGUGAGGACUCAGCCUGCCCCCGGAUCACUCACUCCUGAGCCAUACGGAGACUGGCCAGUGUCCUUCAGGCCCAGCUCAUGCCCACCCAGAACUGCCCUCGGGUUGCUAGGCCCUGAGUGUGGGGGUUGUAAGGAAGGCUGGGUAUCUGACUGGAGCAAGCGAGAGAAGGGGGGUGGUCUGGGCCAAAGGCGUGGAUCCUCAGCUCCACCCCCGGCGGCAAGUCUCAGGAAAGCCAGCAGGAAUGCACAGCCCUCGAGGCUGGAGCCGAUGCAGAGCUGACCACAGUCCGAAGUCCUAGCAGAACAGGCCCUUGAUACUGAGAAAACAGGUGCCUGGACACAGAUGAGGAAGGCCACUCAGGUCCUACAUGCAUUCCUCUUCCCAGCCAGUAUUCAGCAACUGCCCACUGUGCCCAGGGACUAGUCAAGCAUUCAAGAGAUGACAGUGCGUGAAACAGGUAGAAAUUUGCGCUCAUGAAGCGUCCAUACUGGUGGAGGAAACGCAGAUGAUAACUAAGACUCAUUUCAGACCCCACACUUACAGCCCUGGGACCUGCUCUCGCCCACCCCUCCUCUGUGUCUCGGGGGCACUUGGCAGGGCUUGAGGGGCGGGCUGUGUCCUCAUCACCCCUGUAUCCCUAGCACCCGGGAGCGCCUGGCAGGAACAAGGAAGAUUUGUUGACUUGUUGAAACAUUCAAAUAGCUCUUCCCAAUUCAUCUGGUCACAUGGUAACGGUUGGCUGGUUCUGCCUCUGUCUCCUGGCGACAGCAUCUAAGGUGGAAGCCACGUUCAUCCUGCCCGUCCCGUCCCUCACCUGCUCUUUAUACUGGUCCGCGUGUCGACGCUCGUCUUCAACCUGCAUGAAGAUUUCCUUCAGCUUUUUCUCAGUACGACGCACUAGUUUGUUGGCGGCUGCUCUUUCCCUGCGAAAGUCACCAGGAUGUUAGUUAGUUCUCAUGGUUCUUGAUGUGACAGUCGGAACGGGGAA